AGAGCUGGGCCAUGCUGGGAUCAUGGUGUUGAGGGCAGCUCUUGCUCAUGGAGCUGUAUUUGAGUAAUCGUUAGGGUGUUCCUUGAUGGGGGGGUGGGGUUUCAGGAUGUACCAUCACAUUGGGAACUGGGCUUGAUGGCUUUUGAGGUCUUACCAGCCUUGGGGUUCUGUGAUUCCACAGUUCAGCCAUUGACAAGGUUUUCUUUUCUUUUUCUUUUCUUUUCUUUUUUUUUUUUUUUUUUUUUUUUUUUGAGGCCGAGUCUUGCUUUGUCGCCCAGGCUGGAGUGCAAUGGUGGGAUCUAGGCUCACGGCAACCUCUGCCUCCCGGGUUCAAGCAGUUCUCCUGCCUCAGCCUCCUGAGUAGCUGGGAUUACAGGCACCAGCCACCAUGCCCAGCUAAUUUUUGUAUUUUUAGUAGAGAUGGGGUUUCACCAGUUUGGCCAGGCUGAUCUUGAACUCCUGACCUCCAGUGGUCCACCCGCCUCAGCCUCCCAAAGUGCUGGGAUUAUAGGCAUGAGCCACCGCGCCUGGCCGAGAAGGUGUUUUUAAAAUAAACAAAAGGUUGAUGAUUGUGGGUUAGCAGAACUUACUAACAUUAAUGUCACUAAAGUUGGUAUACAGCCCCCAUCCACUGCUAAAUUUGGCUGGCUUUUAAAAG
rnacentral:lncRNA from 10 species